rnacentral:misc_RNA from 1 species
GAAGUCGUUACUCCAACCCUUGUGGAGGAGGACGCCGAAGGUGGGGCUAAUGACUGGGGUGAAGUCGUAACAAGGUAGCCGUACCGGAAGGUGCGGCUGGAUCACCUCCUAACAGGGAGACAACAAAAUGUAAAUAUUAAUUUUGUCACCUUAGGUCGAUCGGUAUCUCAGAUUCUUAUUAUUUAAGAAUUUCAGUUUCUAAGUUUUUUCUAGGUCACACCCAUCACUUUUUCCUGGGCCAUUAGCUCAGGUGGUUAGAGCGCACCCCUGAUAAGGGUGAGGUCCCUGGUUCAAGUCCAGGAUGGCCCAUAUCUCUAUGUUGGGGGUAUAGCUCAGUCGGUAGAGCGCCUGCUUUGCAAGCAGGAUGUCAGCGGUUCGAGUCCGCUUACCUCCACUGAAUACCACCUCUUACAUAUAGUUGAAGUGGGAAAUUGUUUUGAGUCGUGUCCUAAUUUGCUCUGAGCGAAUCUAGCUUCCUAUUUUAUCCAAGAAAUAAGAUGCUGGACUCAUUGAAUUUUUUUUCAUUGUUUUCAGAGAACCUUGACAACUGCAUAGAUUAUUUUUAAAGACAAUAAGCAUCUUUAAUGAUGCAGAUUUAUUAUUUGUGCGAAUGCAUUAAAUAACAAUUCUAUUAAGCUGAUGCUUCAAUUAUUGAAGUUAUUGGUCAAGCUGCAAAGGGCUCACGGAGGAUACCUAGGCACACAGAGGCGAUGAA